UUAAAUUGAAGAGUUUGAUCAUGGCUCAGAUUGAACGCUGGCGGCAGGCCUAACACAUGCAAGUCGAGCGGAAACGAGUUAACUGACCCUUCGGGUGACGUUAACGGCGUCGAGCGGCGGACGGGUGAGUAAUGCCUGGGAAUAUGCCUUGAUGUGGGGGAUAACCAUUGGAAACGAUGGCUAAUACCGCAUAAUCUCUACGGAGCAAAGAGGGGGACCUUCG
rnacentral:rRNA from 1 species